UACGUAGGGUGCGAGCGUUGUCCGGAAUUAUUGGGCGUAAAGGGCGCGUAGGCGGGUCAUUAAGUUUGUUGUUAAAUCCUCUGGCUUAACCAGAGACAAGCAAUAAAAACUGGUAACCUAGAGCGUGAGAGAGAGAAGUGGAAUUCCCGGAGUAGCGGUAAAAUGCGUAGAUCUCGGGAGGAACACCAAUGGCGAAGGCUGCUUCUUGGCUCAUUGCUGACGCUGAGGCGCGAAAGCGUGGGGAGCAAACAGG
rnacentral:rRNA from 1 species